UACGAAGGGGGCUAGCGUUGCUCGGAAUCACUGGGCGUAAAGCGCACGUAGGCGGAUUGCUAAGUCAGGGGUGAAAUCCUGGAGCUCAACUCCAAAACUGCCUUUGAUACUGGCGACCUUGAGUCCGGGAGAGGUGAGUGGAACUGCGAGUGUAGAGGUGAAAUUCGUAGAUAUUCGCAAGAACACCAGUGGCGAAGGCGGCUCACUGGCCCGGUACUGACGCUGAGGCGCGAAAGCGUGGGGAGCAAACAGG
rnacentral:rRNA from 1 species